CCUACGGGUGGCAGCAGUGAGGAAUAUUGGUCAAUGGCCGUAAGGCUGAACCAGCCAAGUCGCGUGAAGGAAGAAGGAUCCAUGGUUUGUAAACUUCUUUUAUAGGGGAAUAAAGGUAUCCACGUGUGGAUAUUUGCAUGUACCCUAUGAAUAAGCAUCGGCUAACUCCGUGCCAGCAGCCGCGGUAAUACGGAGGAUGCGAGCGUUAUCCGGAUUUAUUGGGUUUAAAGGGUGCGGAGGUUGUUUUUUAAGUCAGCGGUGAAAGUUUGUGGCUCAACCAUAAAAUUGCCGUUGAAACUGGCAGGCUUGAGUGUGUUAGAGGUAGGCGGAAUGCGGGGUGUAGCGGUGAAAUGCGUAGAUAUCACGCAGAACUCCAAUUGCGAAGGCAGCUUACUAGGCCAUAACUGACGCUGAGGCACGAAAGCGUGGGGAUCAAACAGGAUUAGAUACCCGGGUAGUC
rnacentral:rRNA from 1 species